rnacentral:tRNA from 1 species
AUUUAAAUAGUUUAUUUAAAAUAUUGAUUUGUGGUGUCAAAGAUGUGAAAUUAAUCACUUUAAAUU